rnacentral:tRNA from 1 species
GUCUGGCUGGCUCAGUCGGAAGACCAUGUGACUUUGGAUCUCAGGGCUGUGAGUUUGAGUCCCACGCUGGGUA